CCUACGGGAGGCAGCAGUGAGGAAUAUUGGUCAAUGGGCGCGAGCCUGAACCAGCCAAGUAGCGUGAAGGAUGACGGCUCUACGGGUUGUAAACUUCUUUUAUAAAGGAAUAAAGUGAGGCACGCGUGCCUAUUUGUAUGUACUUUAUGAAUAAGGAUCGGCUAACUCCUUGCCAGCAGCCGCGGUCAUACGGAGGUUCCGAGCGUUAUACGGAUUUAUUGGGUUUAAAGGGGUCCUAGGUGGGGUGGUAAGUCAGUUGUGCACGUCUGCGGCUAAACCGUAAAAUUGCAAUUGAUACUGGCAGUCUUGAGUACAGUAGAGGUAGGCGGAAUUCGUGGUGUAGCGGUGAAAUGCAUAGAUAUUACGAAGAACUCCGAUUGCGAAGGCAGCCUACUAAACUGCAACUGACAUUGAGGCUCGAAAGUGUGGGUAGCAAACAGGAUUAGAUACCCGUGUAGUC
rnacentral:rRNA from 1 species